AAGGCAAGAUAGCAAGAGGAGUAUAUAGUAAGACCAAGCCCUCAUUUCAUUGGGCCCCUAAAAAUUUUAGAAUGUUUGGCCCCGUGACUUAUCGCCUCCCUCUAACCCCUGGGUAUACUUCUUUGCAUAAAAUCUUUCAUGUUUCCAUUAUUCAAAAGCAUCUCCACGAUCCAUCCCAUUAUAUUCCACGUCCAAGAGCCCCUAUCUAAGCAGACAACUCUUAUGCUGCAUAUCCU
rnacentral:lncRNA from 1 species